rnacentral:snoRNA from 1 species
AGAUGUGUAUAAGAGACAGGUUUACAACACACUCAACAGGAAUCUGGGGCUAUUGUAACAAGGGGCACAACACUUUGUCCUUCUGUGAGCAAGUGCCCUACAUGU